rnacentral:tRNA from 1 species
GGGGCGGUAGCUCAGCUGGUUAGAGCAAAGGACUCAUAAUCCUUGGGUCGUGGGUUCGAGUCCCACCCGCCCCA